rnacentral:rRNA from 1 species
AACGAACGCUGGCGGCAUGCCUAAUACAUGCGAGUCGAACGAGAUCUUCGGAUCUAGUGGCGCACGGGUGCGUAACGCGUGGGAAUCUGCCCUUGGGUUCGGAAUAACUUCUGGAAACGGAAGCUAAUACCGGAUGAUGACGUAAGUCCAAAGAUUUAUCGCCCAAGGAUGAGCCCGCGUAGGAUUAGGUAGUUGGUGAGGUAAAGGCUCACCAAGCCGACGAUCCUUAGCUGGUCUGAGAGGAUGAUCAGCCACACUGGGACUGAGACACGGCCCAGACUCCUACGGGAGGCAGCAGUAGGGAAUAUUGGACAAUGGGCGAAAGCCUGAUCCAGCAAUGCCGCGUGAGUGAUGAAGGCCUUAGGGUUGUAAAGCUCUUUUACCCGGGAUGAUAAUGACAGUACCGGGAGAAUAAGCUCCGGCUAACUCCGUG